CAGUCCCGCGGUAAUACGUAGGGUGCGAGCGUUAAUCGGAAUUACUGGGCGUAAAGCGUGCGCAGGCGGCUUCUUAAGUCGGAUGUGAAAUCCCUGAGCUUAACUUAGGAAUUGCAUUCGAUACUGGGAAGCUAGAGUAUGGGAGAGGAUGGUAGAAUUCCAGGUGUAGCGGUGAAAUGCGUAGAGAUCUGGAGGAAUACCGAUGGCGAAGGCAGCCAUCUGGCCUAAUACUGACGCUGAGGUACGAAAGCAUGGGGAGCAAACAGGAUUAGAUACCCCAGUAGUCCCUGUCUCUUAUACA
rnacentral:rRNA from 1 species